GUCCUGAUCCUGAACCUGAUCCUGAUCCUGAACCUGAUCCUGAUCCUGAUCCUGAUCCUGAUCCUGAACCUGAUCCUGAUCCUGAUCCUGAUCCUGAUCCUGAACCUGAUCCUGAUCCUGAUCCUGAUCCUGAUCCUGAACCUGAACCUGAUCCUGAUCCUGAUCCUGAUCCUGAACCUGAUCCUGAUCCUGAUCCUGAACCUGAACCUGAUCCUGAUCCUGAUCCUGAUCUUCAGCAGUUCCGGACCCACCUGCUCCUGACUUACACCCGUCACUCUGCCGUCAACACCGGAUCCUGGAUUCGCUCCUGUGACGGGGAAACACUCACCUGUGUCGACUCCCUCCUCCUGGCGUCCUUCCCUACUCACCUGUCGCUGCUUCACGCCAUCCAGCAUCAGGCCCAAAGCCGCUGCUCCAAACCUGGUCUGCCACCGCUGUGAACCAGUUCUGAGCAUCUCUUGUAGUAUUCGUGAGUUAGUAGUUCUGUUGUAGCAAUAGCUCUGGUUAAGAGCACCGUUAUUAGAGAAAACCUCAUUCGUAGUUAUUUUCCUUGAACCUCGUAGAAGUUGUUUAGUGUCUAGUUUAGUACUUCAGAGAUUGGUUUUCUCUCCUAGGUGUUACCUACCGCAAGUUAGUAUUACAAUCCUAGUUUUUGUUUGUAGUCCUAAAACCUUGUAAAUAAAAACUGUGUUGCGUUCAAA
ensembl:lncRNA